UCGGGAUAACACCUGGAAACAGAUGCUAAUACCGGAUAACAACAGAUGAUGCCUAUCAACUGUUUAAAAGAUGGUUCUGCUAUCACUCUUGGAUGGACCUGCGGUGCAUUAGCUAGUUGGUAGGGUAACGGCCUACCAAGGCGAUGAUGCAUAGCCGAGUUGAGAGACUGAUCGGCCACAUUGGGACUGAGACACGGCCCAAACUCCUACGGGAGGCAGCAGCU
rnacentral:rRNA from 1 species